rnacentral:rRNA from 1 species
UACGGGGGGGGCAAGCGUUGUUCGGAAUUACUGGGCGUAAAGGGCUCGUAGGCGGCCAACUAAGUCGGAUGUGAAAUCCCCAGGCUCAACCUGGGAACUGCAUCCGAUACUGGAUGGCUUGAAUUCGGGAGAGGGAUGCAGAAUUCCAGGUGUAGCGGUGAAAUGCGUAGAUAUCUGGAGGAAUACCGGUGGCGAAGGCGGCGACCUGGGUUGACAUUGACGCUGAGGCGCGAAAGCGUGGGGAGCAAACAGG